rnacentral:rRNA from 1 species
UACAGAGGGUGCAAACGUUGCUCGGAGUUACUGGGCGUAAAGCGCGUGUAGGCGGUGCCGCACGUCCGGUGUGAAAGCCCAGGGCUCAACCCUGGAAGUGCACUGGAUACGACGGCGCUGGAGUCCUGAAGAGGAGGGCGGAAUUCCCGGUGUAGAGGUGAAAUUCGUAGAUAUCUGGAGGAACACCGGUGGCGAAGGCGGCAUCCUGGACCGACACUGACACUGAGGAGCGAAAGCCAGGGGAGCAAACGGG